GCUUCCCGGUGCGCGCUCGGGCUGGGUAAACAACCCCGGCUUCCCACGAGGGCUGGAGGGAUCCCGGCGUGGAGAGGGGAGCAGGUCGAGCGUGGCGAUCUCGGAUGCAAGUCAGUGUGCUGCCGAGCAAAGACGGGACGCGGACCGAGAAGGGGAAGGGAGAGGGGCGACUGGAGAAGGCGGGAGAGAGGGAGGGAAGUGAGAGGCGAGGGACGGGACGAGGGUGUCAGGCAGAAAACCGGAGAAAAGAGACAGGAAUGUGGAAAAGUAAGCCGCGAUAAAAGGAGCAAAGACGCGCUGGGGAAAAUGCAUGGAGGAGUAGAAGAAAAGAAACGGGGGCAAGGCCCGGAAAGACACCCAGCGAUUCAGAAAAUAAAAAGGCGGCGAGGAAAGGCGCGGCGCGGAGGACCCUGCAGGCUGGCGAGCGGGCGUGUGACGGGCGCGUUCCCAGGCGGGAGAAAAGCAGGCGGCGUGUUUGGUGGGAGACUCAGCGCCCGUGGAAAAGCGUGCGAGCGGCCCUGGGCAGGAAUCCAACAAAUAAAUAAAACGUCUAAGACGGCGUGACAACAAUGCGUAUUUGGGUGCGUGCCCGUGUUCCUCGUCUGCGCACACACUCACGCCCCGUGAGGAAGACAAACGGGGCUCGUGCCUCCGAGUAAUUAAUCCUCCCACUAAUUGACUCUCUCUCCCCUUACCUAAUGGCGGUGGUCAUUGCCGAUAUCUGGAGAGAUAUCGCGUGGAAAGAAAGACAGAGGGGGAGAGAUCCCCAAAGCUAAGUAGCUUUGGGACUUGGGAUUGAGUUCUUUCUGGACUUGGCCGCUCUAAAACUCCCUUCCUUCUUUUGGGGGGCAGAGUUCCAUAGAUGUUGCUGCCUCACCAGCCCUGCCACAUUUGCAUUAAUGAAGAUUUGAGAUUAGGGGUGACUGGGAGGCCCCCCUACACACACACACACACACACACACACACACACACACAGGUCCUUCAUCAAUCUCAGAGGCUGGAAGCCACCCACUGCCCCUCUGCUGGGCACUCCCCACCUCUAUAGGCCACAGUAAAUCUCCCCUCCACUGUUGUUCCCCCAGGAGCUCUGACCCUGCUCCUCUUCUCUGGGUCGCUACUUAGUUUCCCCAGGACCCGGCAUGUGUCCCGCAGCCCUGAGUGGAGCAGGUGAAGUUUUGAACUGGUUGGGGAGCAGCCUUGGGUGGCUUGGGAGAGCAGUGGGAGGGGUGAGGUUAGGGCAAGGAUGGGAAGAGGCUUCUGGGAAAAAACCCGCCCUGGCAGGAAUGGGAGACUCGGCAGCAGAAUGGAGAGCGGUGCACACCUGGCAAGUGUGAGGCCUCUGGGGAGAAGGAAGAAAAGAGGCAGGCACCUGCACUGUGGCGGAGACAGGACAACGACCGUGUUUCUGUGACUGUGAGACUCAGGGAGACAGUUCCAGCUACCACACAGCACUCUCAGUUUUCAGGGCUGGGGAAAGAGGCAGGAGAAGGUUGGCCUUGGCUGGAAGGGCCACCCCACUAAAUACAUUCUUAACCGUCUCUUGGGAAUGUUUGUACAUUUGACCAAAGCGAAUCCUCAAGGAGGAACAGCAACACUGGUCUUAGGGGCUGGCAGCCCAGAGAGAGUUGGGGGUCUGGAGAAGGGCGAGGCAGGGAGAGAAAGCAGGCAUGUCUGAGGAGGUAGGGAACUUGGCUCUUCUCUCCUUGUCUCUGUCACGCUUUAGAAAGAAAGUGAGCAAGAGGCAUAAAGUUCCAGGGGAAAGAAAGAGAAGGGCAUAUAAAAGGCAAAUCCAAGCCAGAAAGGAAAGAAAGUGAAGAAGAAAGAAAAAGGCCGGGAGGGUGGGAUUGACGAUAAUAAAAAAGGGUGAAGGCGGCCCCAGGAGGCUGGGCCUCGUCCCAAACCAUCCGUCUUCAUUGCCUCUGUGUGUGCAAAGGCAACUCCGGCAUAAGGAAAAGCCACUAUUGGAGCCGCGGCUUUAUUUUAUAUCCUAUACAUCAGGAGGGAGGCAAAGCUUUAUUUUCGCCAAGAGACAGAUAUUUUAUUUCUCUCUUACGGUUUUAUGUGUGAGAGAUGUCAGGUUGCCACAAUGGAUGGCUAAUGCAUAGGCAAGAGGAAGCCGUGUUGGCAUGCUGUGUGUCAUGGGGUCUUGGGGGGGGUGAGUGGGCCUGGGAUUUAGGGCUGAUGGGACACUCUAGGGGAUUUCUGCUAAAACAUCUCUCUUCAUAAAUCCAGAAGCAUGGUCAGCUCAACAGGGAGAAGAAGGAGUUUUCGAGGGAAAAGAGUUGGGCUUAGUAAUGAACGAACACACAAAGGAACCGCUUACCUUCCAACAGGCUCGGGCAACCGGGGCAAGGCGGCCCUGUGGAAAUGCAGACAUUCGUGACCACACGCACGCGUACCACGCACAGGGAAGUCUUUUUCUACAGAAUACAAUAUCAUUUCACUUCUUUCCCCAUUUUAUAUGUUUCCGCCUUCCCCAUCUCCAUGGGGAAGAAAUCUUUUUUUUUUUUUUCAUCUCUUCAGAGCCUUGGGGUGGGGGGGGGAAGAGCUAUUAAUUUGCAAAUCAUCUGAUCUGUGAAAGGAUCAGAUGCCUGUUUUUCACCGUUCAGUGCAAUGUCUCAAGUGGACACACACACGCACACAGGAGCCCAUCGUGCUGGGAGUCCUGGGGGGCCGGGGCGAGGGACCCGAUUUGAAUCUAAGAAAAGCUUGCCAUCUCCUCCAGGGCCUGUGGCCAAAUUAAGCCUUAGGUCUCAAACUGCAUAACGGUCACAUUUUUUAACUUGGAGAGAAGGGGGAGGUGAGGGGACAAAGAGACAGAGAAGGCGGAGAGGGAAGUAUGUUAAUUAACACAUUGCGUUCAGGGCUUAGACCAGCGUCCUGCACUCCCAACCACCCUUGAAAUAAUUUCCUAUAAGGCCUUUAUGUGUCCUAAUGCCCUAUUUUUAAUUGUUUUAUUUCUGGAUUUAUAUAUCCACUGUGGAGGAAAAAGCUGACCAUGCUCUUCCCCUCUUUUCAGAGGAUCAGAGGUGACACAGGGGAUCUCUAGACAAUGAGUGUGGGGACUUGGCCCCCAGAGCACACUGUCCUUAGCUCUGGUCUUUGGGGGAAGACAUUUAACCUUUCUGGGCCUCAGUUUCCCCAUCUCUAAUGCAGGCCAUGGGGCUAAGUGGUUGCUAACAUUCCUGCCAGCUCCAGCCUCCUCUGACCGAAUGAGAUAAUGUGUGAAAACACUUUGGGAACGUUAAAGCCGGACGAAUGCCGAGGGGAUUAUUAUUACGAUUCUAAUCAAUCCUCUUUUCUCCACAUGGAUCUUGGCUGUUUAGCGCCAGCAAGCAGGCUAAAGAGGACCAAAAGCGAGAAAGCUUAGCAGAGAUGGAAAAGCUCUGUGGCGUGGACAUAGAAAACCCUCCAUCUCCAGAAACAUUCUGUCUCUGUGAGGCCCCCAGGCCUGGUGGGAAGGAGUGGGGAAGAAGAGGCCUCACUCGGCCUGACCCACGUCAGUCUCCACGGAGGCACGAAGUGCAUUUCUUUCAGAGCAUCGCUUGUCUCCAAGUGACUGACAUAGGAACCUGAUGUGAAAGCGAUUUGCAAUCGUUGUGUUGUUUUUUUUUUCCAGAAAGAAAGAAAAAAAGCAAGGUGUAGCUGAUUAGCAAGUUAAUUAUUUCAGUUCCCCAAGGGUUCCAGUGUGGUGGAGACAGCGCAUGGCGCCAUGCUCUGGAGAGCCAACUUCCUGCCUCGAGCGGUGUGAAGAUGAUACGAUACAAUUUUUGGUGCUUGCAUUCAGCUAUUCCCCAAGCAGGUUGGCUGAUACCCCUGUUGGUGGAGAGGGGCCUGGAGCUGCCUAGAAAGAUAGUUCUGAUGACUGCUUCAUUGCUGGUGGCAGAGGACUUGGGGCCGGGGGUGGAUCCAGUCAACGUUCAGAUUGUACUUGGACAUCUUUCGUCUUUACAUUUCAGUAGGAGAGAAGCUGGUGAAACUUAGAAUGCAGGAAGGCAGGUAUAGGGAGUUUCUUGUCUCAAUCAUGGUACUUCCAUGCCCAAAGGAAGCCCAGGGGUGGUAAAAACAGAUCCAAGCAGGGCUUUAAGGCUCCAUGUGGGAUUUCAGCCCUGGUUUCUGGGAGAUUAAGAAGUCUUUUCCAAGUUUUGAAGAGACCUACAAAUGCCAGGUAUUCAUAAUCUUUGGGAAGUAAACGCAACCUCUUUGCCUGCCUGGUGGCCGGCAAGGGAGCAUUUUGAGCUUGUGUGGCCCUCCUUUGUGGUUCUACCCUUUCCUUAUUCAUGUUCCAGUCUGGACUUGUAGAGGUGAAGACCCCAGCCUCCUCAGCUGCUGAGAUUUCUGGCUCUCUCCGGCCAUUCACAAUUUGGCCCACAUUGUAGGCACCGGCCAGCACACAUUUUGAAAGGAUUACUCUGGGCCAGGUUGUUCUCAUUUGGGCUCAAGAAAAGAUAUAGUUUCCCCUUAAAAAAGAGAUGCAAGAAGCCACUUCUAUGAAUCUUUUAAUGAAGGAUUUACUACUAAUUUGAUAAGUUCAUUGCUCUUUUUACUCAUUCUGAAUGAGUAACUUCAUCAGUCAACCUGAGGGUCUGCAGAACCUAUAAAAAUGCUUCCUUUGGUCUUCUUGCUUUAACACGUGCUGGGGCUCGGGCCUGCCUCUGACAGACUGGGGAGGAGCAGAAACAUUCCAGAGACCGGGUCUUAGAGUGUUAUCUCCUCCCCACCCCAAAUCCUCACCCUCCAUUUUAUCUCUCAAAUACAAAUGCAGGGACCUCCUAGGGAAGUGUGAAGGGAUAGGUUUUCAUCAGGUGGGGGAAGGAAGGGGAAGGAGUAGAACCUAAAGGAAGAUGAGGACAGUUGGAAUUUUUAACACCUCUCUGUUAAUACUUCUCAUGUGUUGUAUAUUAUAACUUACAAAAUAUGCAUUUGUCACGGUAAUCUACAGUGUAUCUGUGGCAUUUGCCAAAUGCUGCUUGGCCAAAACAGUGUUAAAUAAAAUUGUAAGAAAUGC